rnacentral:rRNA from 1 species
GUAAAGGCUCACCAAGGCGACGAUCUGUAGCUGGUCUGAGAGGACGACCAGCCACACUGGAACUGAGACACGGUCCAGACUCCUACGGGAGGCAGCAGUGGGGAAUUUUGGACAAUGGGCGCAAGCCUGAUCCAGCAAUGCCGCGUGCAGGAUGAAGGCCUUCGGGUUGUAAACUGCUUUUGUACGGAGCGAAACGGUUCUCUCUAAUAAAGGGGGCUAAUGACGGUACCGUAAGAAUAAGCACCGGCUAACUACGUGCCAGCAGCCGCGGUAAUACGUAGGGUGCGAGCGUUAAUCGGAAUUACUGGGCGUAAAGCGUGCGCAGGCGGUUUUGUAAGGCAGAUGUGAAAUCCCCGGGCUCAACCUGGGACCUGCAUUUGUGACUGCAAAGCUAGAGUACGGUAGAGGGGGAUGGAAUUCCGCGUGUAGCAGUGAAAUGCGUAGAUAUGCGGAGGAACACCGAUGGCGAAGGCAAUCCCCUGGACCUGUACUGACGCUCAUGCACGAAAGCGUGGGGAGCAAACAGGAUUAGAUACCCUGGUAGUCCACGCCCUAAACGAUGUCAACUGGUUGUUGGGUCUUUGCUGACUCAGUAACGAAGCUAACGCGUGAAGUUGACCGCCUGGGGAGUACGGCCGCAAGGUUGAAAACUCAAAGGAAUUGACGGGGACCCGCACAAGCGGUGGAUGAUGUGGUUUAAUUCGAUGCAACGCGAAAAACCUUACCCACCUUUGACAUGUACGGAAUCCUUUAGAGAUAGAGGAGUGCUCGAAAGAGAGCCGUAACACAGGUGCUGCAUGGCUGUCGUCAGCUCGUGUCGUGAGAUGUUGGGUUAAGUCCCGCAACGAGCGCAACCCUUGUCAUUAGUUGCUACAUUUAGUUGGGCACUCUAAUGAGACUGCCGGUGACAAGCCGGAGGAAGGUGGGGAUGACGUCAAGUCCUCAUGGCCCUUAUAGGUGGGGCUACACACGUCAUACAAUGGCUGGUACAAAGGGUUGCCAACCCGCGAGGGGGAGCUAAUCCCAUAAAGCCAGUCGUAGUCCGGAUCGUAGUCUGCAACUCGACUACGUGAAGUCGGAAUCGCUAGUAAUCGUGGAUCAGGAUGUCACGGUGAAUACGUUCCCAGGUCUUGUACACACCGCCCGUCACACCAUGGGAGCGGGUUCUGCCAGAAGUAGUUAGCUUAACCGCAAGGAGGGCGAUUACCACGGCAGGGUUCGUGACUGGGGUGAAGUCGUAACAAGGUA